GACGAACGCUGGCGGCGUGCUUAAUACAUGCAAGUCGAACGGAAAGGCUCUGCUUUUGUGGGGUGCUCGAGUGGCGAGCGGGUGAGUAAUACGUGAGUAACCUGCCCUUGACUUUGGGAUAACUCCAGGAAAAUGGGGCUAAAAACGGAUAGGAGAAUCUGCUGCAUGGUGGGGGUUGGUAAGUUUGGGCGGCAGGGGAUGGUCUCGCGGCUUAUCAGUUUGUUGGUGGGGUAGUGGCUUACCAAGGCUUUGACGGGUAGCCGGCCUGAAAGGGUGACCGGCCAAAUGGGGAGUGAGAUACGGCCGAGACUCCUAGGGGAGGCAGCAGUGGGGAAGAUUGCACGAUGGGGCGAAGCCUGGUGCAGCAAGGCCGCGUGCGGGAUGACGGCCUUCGGGGUGAAAGACGAUUUCUCCUGUGACGAAACGUAAGUGACGGUAAUUGGUAAGAAAGCAACGGCUAACUACGUG
rnacentral:rRNA from 1 species